GUGAUCACAUUCUUCUUUAUUGUAUCGACAACUUUUGUAGUCCAGCUACUCAUUCCGUCCAUAAAUCUCCCAUUCAUUCCAACAACCCACGCGAAACGACAUUGUUUCCUUUAAGCAAAAUAAGUGAUUCCAUGUAAUUUUGAACAUAAAACGAGCGAGAGCUCCCUUGAAUACGAAGACCCCUAUUUUGUCCACUAUUUGGAUCAUACGAAAC
rnacentral:misc_RNA from 1 species